rnacentral:rRNA from 1 species
ACUCUACGGGAGGCAGCAGUGGGGAAUAUUGCACAAUGGGGAAACCCUGAUGCAGCCAUGCCGCGUGUGUGAAGAAGGCCUUCGGUUGUAAAGCACUUUCAGUAGGGAGGAAGGUAGUGUAGUUAACACCUGCACUAUUUGACGUUACCUACAGAAGAAGCACCGGCUAACUCCGUGCCAGCAGCCGCGGUAAUACGGAGGGGUGCGAGCGUUAAUCGGAAUUACUGGGCGUAAAGCGCAUGCAGGCGGCCUGUUAAGUCAGAUGUGAAAGCCCGGGGGCUUAACCUCGGAAUUGCAUUUGAAACUGGCAGGCUAGAGUCUUGUAGAGGGGGUAGAAUUUCAGGUGUAGCGGUGAAAUGCGUAGAGAUCUGAAGGAAUACCAGUGGCGAAGGCGGCCCCCUGGACAAAGACUGACGCUCAGAUGCGAAAGCGUGGGGAGCAAACAGGAUUAGAUACCCUGGUAGCACAGAG